GACGAACGCUGGCGGCGUGCUUAACACAUGCCAGUCGAACGGAAAGGCCCCUUUGGGGGUACUCGAGUGGCGAACGGGUGAGUAACACGUGAGUAACCUGCCCUUGACUUCGGGAUAACUUCAGGAAACUGGGGCUAAUACCGGAUAGGAAUCCUUGCUGCAUGGUGGGGGUUGGAAAGCUUCGGCGGUUUUGGAUGGACUCGCGGCUUAUCAGCUUGUUGGUGGGGUAGUGGCUUACCAAGGCUUUGACGGGUAGCCGGCCUGAGAGGGCGACCGGCCACAUUGGGACUGGGAUACGGCCCAGACUCCUACGGGAGGCAGCAGUGGGGAAUAUUGCACAAUGGGCGGAAGCCUGAUGCAGCAACGCCGCGUGCGGGAUGACGGCCUUCGGGUUGUAAACCGCUUUCAGCAGGGGCGAAGCUUGUGGUGACGGUACCUGCAGAAGAAGCACCGGCUAACUACGUG
rnacentral:rRNA from 1 species